UACGUAGGGUGCAAGCGUUGUCCGGAAUUAUUGGGCGUAAAGAGCUCGUAGGCGGUUUGUCGCGUCUGCUGUGAAAACCCGAGGCUCAACCUCGGGCCUGCAGUGGGUACGGGCAGACUAGAGUGCGGUAGGGGAGAUUGGAAUUCCUGGUGUAGCGGUGGAAUGCGCAGAUAUCAGGAGGAACACCAAUGGCGAAGGCAGAUCUCUGGGCCGUAACUGACGCUGAGGAGCGGAAAGCAUGGGGAGCGAACAGG
rnacentral:rRNA from 1 species